rnacentral:rRNA from 1 species
UGGGGAAUUUUGGACAAUGGGGGAAACCCUGAUCCAGCCAUCCCGCGUGUGCGAUGAAGGCCUUCGGGUUGUAAAGCACUUUUGGCAGGAAAGAAACGUCGCGGGUUAAUACCCCGCGAAACUGACGGUACCUGCAGAAUAAGCACCGGCUAACUACGUGCCAGCAGCCGCGGUAAUACGUAGGGUGCAAGCGUUAAUCGGAAUUACUGGGCGUAAAGCGUGCGCAGGCGGUUCGGAAAGAAAGAUGUGAAAUCCCAGAGCUUAACUUUGGAACUGCAUCUUUAACUACCGGGCUAGAGUGUGUCAGAGGGAGGUGGAAUUCCGCGUGUAGCAGUGAAAUGCGUAGAUAUGCGGAGGAACACCGAUGGCGAAGGCAGCCUCCUGGGAUAACACUGACGCUCAUGCACGAAAGCGUGGGGAGCAAACAGGAUUAGAUACCCUGGUAGUCCACGCCCUAAACGAUGUCAACUAGCUGUUGGGGGCCUUCGGGCCUUGGUAGCGCAGCUAACGCGUGAAGUUGACCGCCUGGGGAGUACGGUCGCAAGAUUAAAACUCAAAUGAAUUGACGGGGUCAUAGUUGUUUCCUG